rnacentral:rRNA from 1 species
AUUGAACGCUGGCGGCAAGCCUUACACAUGCAAGUCGAACGGCAGCAUGGAGAGCUUGCUCUCUGAUGGCGAGUGGCGAACGGGUGAGUAAAGCAUCGGAACGUACCGUGUAGUGGGGGAUAACGUAGCGAAAGUUACGCUAAUACCGCAUACGCACUGAGGUGGAAAGCAGGGGAUCGUAAGACCUUGCGCUAUACGAGCGGCCGAUGUCAGAUUAGCUAGUUGGUAGGGUAAAGGCCUACCAAGGCGACGAUCUGUAGCGGGUCUGAGAGGAUGAUCCGCCACACGGGGACUGAGACACGGCCCAGACGCCUACGGGAGGCAGCAGUGGGGAAUUUUGGACAAUGGGGGCAACCCUGAUCCAGCCAUGCCGCGUGAGUGAAGAAGGCCUUCGGGUUGUAAAGCUCUUUCGGCCGGGAAGAAAUCGCACAGGCUAAUACCCUGUGUGGAUGACGGUACCGGCAUAAGAAGCACCGGCUAACUACGUGCCAGCCGCCGCCGUAA